rnacentral:lncRNA from 1 species
GCUAUUUGGCAGUUCUCCUGUUAUGUAAAGUUGAAGAAAGUGAAUCUUCCGUUUCAUUUUAUUACAGUUUGCUGCAAGCCAGACGGGAACGGAGAGGAACGCUUUCUGCUUGCCAAUGAGUAAUGCUGUGUUCAAAAUAAACAACCGGAGAGGGGAUUGUUGGAAGAAAGAAACCCUAAACAUGCAAAGCAACAUGGAUACACAGGAAAUGCAACAGCAAUGAACUGGUUUCCCCGGCAACUGCAUCCAGCCUAAAAGUUCUGUACAUACCACGGUGAGCCCUGUAUCUUAGGAGUAUUUUGACCACGAACUCUGAACCUGCUUCCAACCCUGGAACUCGUAAGCAGUACACAGAUGUAUAGCUGAGGUUUCUGGGCGAGGGUCAUCUCUGCGUUUCAUCAUCUUCUGUGUCCCACCACCACCUCCAAAUUGCCCCCUUCAUUUCCACCGGGAGGAGGUUGGGCUUCUUUGCAGUGGCAUC